rnacentral:rRNA from 1 species
GAUGAACGCUGGCGGCGUGCCUAAUACAUGCAAGUCGAGCGAACGGACGAGAAGCUUGCUUCUCUGAUGUUAGCGGCGGACGGGUGAGUAACACGUGGAUAACCUACCUAUAAGACUGGGAUAACUUCGGGAAACCGUAGCUAAUACCGGAUAAUAUUUUGAACCGCAUGGUUCAAAAGUGAAAGACGGUCUUGCUGUCACUUAUAGAUGGAUCCGCGCUGCAUUAGCUAGUUGGUAAGGUAACGGCUUACCAAGGCAACGAUGCAUAGCCGACCUGAGAGGGUGAUCGUCCACAAUGGAAAUGAGAGACGGGCCAGGCUCCUACGGGAGGCAGCAGUGGGGAAUCUUACGCAAAGGGCGAAAGCCUGACGGAGCAACGCCGCGUGGGUGAUGAAGGUCUUCGGUUCGUAAAACUCUGUUAUUAGGGAAGAACAGAUGUGUAAGUAACUGUGCACAUCUUGACGGUUCCUAUCAGAAAGCCACGGCUAACUACGUG